rnacentral:rRNA from 1 species
AUGCAAACAAUCGGCUAUAGAUCCAUUGUAAAUAAUGCCGCGAAGGAUGAAAACUGGAAUCAUAAUAUUAUGUGUGAUGUUACUCUUCUUUAUUUGUUUGUAGUAGUGAUCAAAUUCCCUUGCAAGUUGUCAUUUACACUAUAUUCAGGAGCAAGCAACACUUUGGAUACUCUCAUUUCUUAUAUCCUGUACGAAAAUACUUGUAUUGUAUCUGUUCAAAAAAAAAAAAUACUUACAGUAUUCUCAUCAACACAGGAACAAGAUGAAGAAAACAUUGACAGUUUCAAUUUUCCUGCUACAAGUUAA